rnacentral:tRNA from 1 species
CGGGGUGUAGUUCAGUUUGGAAGAGCGCUUGGUUUGGGACCAAGUUGUCGCAGGUUCGAAUCCUGUCACCCCGACUC